GACAGAGGGUGCAAACGUUGUUCGGAAUUACUGGGCGUAAAGCGCGUGUAGGCGGCGGCGCAAGUCGGAUGUGAAAGCCCAGGGCUCAACCCUGGAAGUGCAUUCGAUACUGCGACGCUAGAGUCCCGGAGAGGUUGGUGGAACUCUCGGUGUAGAGGUGAAAUUCGUAGAUAUCGAGAAGAACACCGGUGGCGAAGGCGGCCAACUGGACGGUGACUGACGCUGAGACGCGAAAGCGUGGGGAGCAAACAGGAUUAGAUACCCUGGUAGUCCACGCCGUAAACGAUGGGUGCUAGGUGUCACGGGUAUUGACCCCUGUGGCGCCGUAGCUAACGCAUUAAGCACCCCGCCUGGGAAGUACGGCCGCAAGGCUAAA
rnacentral:rRNA from 1 species